rnacentral:tRNA from 1 species
GGGCGGGGUAGAGCAGCUUGGUAGCUCGCAAAAACCGGUAUAGUUCUGAACAAAGAACUAUCGAGGGUUCGAAUCCCUCUCUCUCCUU